UCCUAUCCGGGAGGAAGCAGUGAGUUAUCUCACCCUAUUUCUGUGGGGACUAAGGGGCCAAACAUCGAGAUGCUCUCUCCGGGAAUAACCGCACAGGUUUCAGAGACAACGACAGAGACAGCAGACCCUUCACCUUUCGUGGUUCCUGGAGGUCACCUUGGUCAGGCAGAGGACGAGGGACUAGCAGAAACAAGCCUGGUGCCUUCUCCGGUACACAUGAUGCCAAGAGCUGUAAGCAAUGACUCCCUUUUGGUGGGGGGUCGCCUUCUAGACUUUGCGGACAGAUGGGGGCUUUCCACAUCCGACCGGUGGGUGUUGAGUACCGUCACUCACAGUUAUUCCAUAGACUUUGUACAAAUCCCUCACGAUUUUCUGUUUGUGACCCCUGUUUCCAAAAACAAAUCAAAAAGGCUCCUAAUGGAGCAGGCGAUAUCCCAUCUCUUAGAAAUUCAAGCGAUAGAGCAGAUCCCAGAGCCCCAGUGUGGCCUGGGUGUGUACUCCCUGCUUUUUCUAGUUCUCAAGAAAGACGGCUCCUGGCGGGCAAUUUUGAACUUGAAGCGUCUGAACAGGUUCGUAAGGAAAAGGUCGUUUCGGAUGGAGUCUCUGAAGUCUAUCAAGAGGGCAGUUUAACCAAAAGAUUGGCUUUCUUCGAUAGACUUAUCAGAGGCUUACCUCCAUGUUCCGAUUCACCUGUGCAGUCGUCAUUACCUGAGGUUCGCAUACGAUCAGCAACACUACCAGUACAGAGCGCUUCCCUUUGGUCUUUCGUCAGCCCCUCGUGUAUUUUCCAAAUUGAUGGUUGCAGUGAUUUCUCAUGUCCGCCAGCAGAGCAUACAAGCCUAUCCUUACUUGGACGACAUCCUCGUGAGAUCGGAGUCCUAUCAUCGGGCCAUCGCCAAUGUUUCACACACGGUGCAGAUCCUGGAAUGGCAUGGGUUCGUCAUCAACCAAAGCAAGAGUCAUCUCCAGCCGUCUCGAGUGUUGCAACAUCUGGGAGUACUUUUCAACACAGAGGAGGCCUUAGUCUCACUUCCGUUGGAGAGACAACACAAACUCAAGUCAGCUAUUGCCCCCUGGAUGGCAAAGAAGAGAGGAGAUCUAAUGUCUCUGGCGCAAAUCCUAGGCCAGAUGAUUGCAUGCUUAGAAUGCACGCCUUGGGCAAGGUGGCAUUCAAGGCCACUACAGUGGUUUCUCCUUCCGUUUCAGUCCUCCAUAAUGGAAAAGAUUCACGUGUCCGUGUCCCUGCCACGCAAGGUCAGAACAUCCUUCCUUUGGUGGCUUUCUCCAGCUCUGAAGAGGGGUCUCCCUUUAGACACUCCUCUGAAGAUCAUAGUUACAACGGAUGCCAGUCUGUCCGGCUGGGGAGCGCACUGCUUGGGGACCCACGCUCAAGGUGUGUGGGAACCAAGGGAUCUUCACUUCAACAUAAACUGGCUCGAAUUGAAGGCUGUCUGGCUGGCGCUUCUUCAUUUUCAAGACCUGGUGAAGGGGCGUCACGUCCUGAUAAGAAUGGACAAUGUCACAGCCAAAGCACAUGUGAACCAUCAGGGGGGCACCCGGUCUCGGGCUUUGAUGAAGGAGUCGAACCUCCUUUUAUCAUGGGCAGAGGCCAACGUGUGUUCUCUGACAGCCGAGCAUCUCAGCGGACAGGAGAACGUCCAGGCGGACUGGCUCAGUCGACAGACGCUGGAUCCAGAAGAAUGGUCUCUACUGCCAGAGGUGUUCGAUAUUCUGUCGGCCAGGUUCGGGGAACCUCUGGUAGAUCUAUUUGCCUCCGAGACCAACGCCAAGCUUCCAAGGUUCUUCAUCAGGCAUCGUUGAGAUCGAGCGGAGCAGGUGGACGCUCUAGUAUCACCAUGGCCUCCCGGGUUGAUGUACGCCUUUGCACCAGUCCCAAUCCUGGGCUUGGUGUUGCGGAAGAUCGUAGCGGAAAGGGCGGAAAUCUUGCUCAUUGCUCUUUUCUGGCCACGCAGGCCAUGGUUCUCAGAUCUAGUGACCUUGUCGGUCUGUCAUCCAUGGCCACUACCCUUGAGAAGGGACCUGUUAUCACAGGGUCCUCUAUACCAUGCAGAGAUCGAAUGGCUGAGGCUUCACGCCUGGCAAUUGAGCGCAAGGGGCUAGCUCUAAGAGGUUAUUCCAAACAAGUGCAAGAUAUCAUUUUGGCCUCCUGUAGAGCUUCCACCUCACGCAUUUACCAGUUUACCUGGGCGGCUUUCGUGGCUUGGUCUAAACAGCAUCAGGUUUCACCCUUGUUAGCAGGGGUUACAGAGGUUUUAGGUUUCCUUCAGUCAGGCUUAGAUAAGGGGCUCCGUCCAAACACCUUACGACGUCAGGUGUCUGCCCUCUCCUCUGUUUUGGAUUUAAGGGAUUCUACGUCUCAGGGGUUGCACGCCCAUAUCUCUAGAUUUUUGCGUGGGGCAAACAAUUUAGCUCCUCCACCGAUCAAUAGGUUUCCUACCUGGGAUUUGAAUAUAGUUUUGAACGCCAUGACGAAAUCUCCUUUUGAGCCACUUGCCUCCAUUGCCUUACGCUGGCUGUCUCUGAAAGUUUUGUUCUUGGUGGCCAUUACAUCCUCUAGAAGGGUUUCGGAAUUGGCCGCUCUUUCAGUUAGGGAUGAGUUAUGUGUUUUCCAAGAGGAGGCGGUUAUCCUAAGACUUGAUCCAACCUUCGUGCCCAAAGUGAAUUCGGUUUUUCAUAGGAGUCAGGAGGUGGUGUUGCCAUCCUUUUGCCCAAAGCCAGUUCACCCAAAGGAGCGGACCUGGCACAAAUUAGAUGUUCGAAGGGCGUUGAGGGUGUAUAUCAAUAGGACGAAGCCUUUCAGAAAGACUGAUUAUUUGUUUGUCUCCUUUCAGAAUCAUUCGCUUGGAUCCAGGGUUUCCAAAGUGUCCUUGGGACGUUGGAUUAGGCCCGCCAUAUCCUCGGCCUACGAGGCAGGCGGUUUUUCGGUUCCUAAGGGUCUCACCGCUCACUCCACAAGGAGUGCAGCGACGUCUGCGGCCUUUUCAGCUCGGGUUCCCUUAGAGGAGAUAUGCAGGGCGGCCACGUGGAGCUCUGUUACUCCUUUUGUUAAACAUUACAAGGUUCCUUCCGCCUACGAGUCUCAAGCGGCGGUGGGGAGGACUGUUUUGCAGAGAGUGGUUGAAUAGCCACUGGUCCCUCCCUGUUUUUUCUGAUGUUAGCUUGGAUACGUCCCGUCAAGUUAGGAUGCCCUCCCCAUGCCUCGGAAAAAGAAACAUUGGUAGACUUACCGUGAAGUGUUCUUUUUCAAGGUAUGGGGAGGGCAUCCGGCCCACCCGCGGCUUUUCCUGAUGGUGAAACUCUCUGUCCUUUCAGGGGGGUUGGCUCCCAGGGUUCUUUAGAUUACGCUAUCCCUGUUUAAUUUAAGCCUCUCCGUUGAGGGCCUUUUAUUCGGUUGAAUAUUUCCUGUUUCUCUAUUAGGCUUUUUUGCAGUCCCGGAACUGGGAUAAGGGAGACUGGCAUGCCAGUGUGUUACCAGAGAAGUUCUCUGAUUGGUCCUGUCUGGAAGCAUGAGGGGACUGACAACCUGUCAAGUUAGGAUGCCCUCCCCAUACCUCAAAAAGUACACUUCACGAAUUCCGAACAGGCAAAACUCAGCUUGCCCAUACUCUUUGUGUGACAGCUCAACUUCCAGGAACAGAUGGCUAUACUGGAGGGAAGAUUAUCUUUAUUGAUACUGAAAACACCUU